UUGAAAGGGAAACGAUUGAAGUCAGUCGUGCUGGCGCGAAAUCAACCUUCUCGUCUUGAGAUCACAUGGCGUGGCGAGCCUCAAAACCGUCACGAAGCGUGAACUCUUGGUGAAAUGGAGCGCUUUCGUGUCCGCUGGUUAACAUCAAUUUCGAACGUCAUAAAAAGGCUGGAGGGAUGUGGCUCCUUCGGGAGUGUUAUAACCUUUAGCGGAAUGUGGUGUUCGGGAUUGAGGAUUGCAACGAAUACCUUUAGGGCUGUUCCACCUGGCUUCUCUUUGGUAUCCUGGUGACGACAGCUUGCUGACGUCGUUAGGAUUCGCCUUUGAACAGGCUAGAGUGUGAGCAAAUUCGUUAAGGAUGUUGACGUA
rnacentral:rRNA from 1 species